AAAAAAAAAAAGAUGAACCUUGUCUUUCUUCCAAGGAGUUAAAUGACGUGACAACAAGCAUCGUUGUUCUCCAGUUUCUUACCCUGUUUGUUAAUAUCAUGACUGUCAGCAAGAAUUGGAUUCUCCUAGACUUCUGUGUGGUCUCUGGGAUCUCCUGGGUUUUGCUUUAUCUGACAAAUGCAAAUAACAUUCUUUCCAUGAUGCUCGGGCCUGCCGCCAGAUCCACCACAGGCACAUUCAUUGUUUCACCGAGGAUAAAGUGGGUACUUCUGCCUCUUAUUAGGUCCUUUGGAUAUUCAUUGCUAAAAUAAUCAUUGGUUGCUUCCCUACUUUUUCUGAUAAUGGCGCCCAGCUUUUCCUUAGAGGCUGUCCUCCUUUGCUCUCAGUCUAUGAAUUUUGCUACAUUGGAGAAUGUACAUUGGAGAAUUGGAGAAAUGCUACAUUAAGCAUUCUUAUAUGUAAUGAUUCUUAUACCUACUGAUUAAGUAGAGGAUAACUUGAACAUUAAAAUAAAUAAUGAGGAGGAAUAACAGUUUCUGUUUCCAGCCAACAUGAAGUAACUGGAACUGUAUUUACCCCUCCCUCCUGAAACGGCUAAAAAUGCAGACAAAAUUUAUAAAACAACUGUUUUCAAAACAUUAGACAUCAAGCAAAGGAGGACAGUGAGCCCCAAGAGAUGGGAAAGAAAUGAGGUGGACCUAAUGGUUGCCCUAGAUUACUGCUUGAGGAGAGUUUCCAGGUACUGGUACAGUGGCACAGGAAGGGAAAACCCAAGCACAGUGGACUUCUUGAGUUGAAGCAAUGUAUCUCGGUGUCUGUAGAGACCAAAGUGGCUAGUUUGCAGGUCAGAGUACCAAAGAGGAGAGAACCACACAGAUAGAGAAUUCCAGAGAUCUAUGGAUGGUCAUGCUUGGGUCUUUAGCUAAAAACUGUGUAGUACAUGCAUGCCAUAAAACUACUCAAGAAUGGGCCAGAACCACCCAAAAUGAUUAGAAGGAACAGUAUCUGGGACUCACAGAGA
rnacentral:lncRNA from 1 species